AUGUAUGUAGUAUGUAUGUAUGAAUUUUUAUACAUGUGAAAUAUUAUUAUAUUGUUGUGACAUAAUAUUACUUAGUCUCUGAAUUCCGACACGAAUGCCCAUCGGACGUAACAUUAUUAAUUGACCGUUAUCGAAUGAGAUCACGUGGCGACGACAAGUCGUUCGUACUCUGAGCGGUUAGGACAUAAAAUAAAAUAUAAUAUUAACAAAAAAAAUAUAUACAAAAAUUCGUUAUAUCGUAUACAAUUACUAUCAUACUUUUUCCCCGCGAGACAACGACGACGACGACUAGACGACGGACAAAAUUUUUGCCGGUAUCGGCAUCCAAGGGGGCUUUUGACGGGCUGACCACCAGCGGCAACGUACGUAUUCCGCACUGGCAGAAUACACACGUGUUGGCACGUUUACACGUUUUACACAUUCAUUAAGAACAGAUUUCAAACAGAAUUGACGGUUUAUCAGGCUCUCAAAUAGACUACUUAAAGAAAAAUUUUAAACUC